rnacentral:rRNA from 1 species
UACGUAGGGACCGAGCGUUGUCCGGAUUCAUUGGGCGUAAAGAGCUUGUAGGCGGUCUGUCGCGUCUGCUGUGAAAAUCCGGGGCUCAACCCCGGACUUGCAGUGGGUACGGGCAGACUAGAGUGUGGUAGGGGAGACUGGAAUUCCUGGUGUAGCGGUGAAAUGCGCAGAUAUCAGGAGGAACACCGAUGGCGAAGGCAGGUCUCUGGGCCACUACUGACGCUGAGAAGCGAAAGCGUGGGUAGCAAACAGG